CCUCACAUAGCUUACAAUAUUAUCAAAUUGUACCCAGAAUAUUUAAGUUCUUUUUCAGUCCCCCAUGUGCCUACUCAGAUAAGAUGAAUUAAAACUUUUUUCUUCUUUUUUUUUUUGAAAGAAACAAAAAGAAAGAGAGAGAGAAAGAAAGAAAAAAAGAAUGAAGGAGAGGAAGAAAGAGGAAGAGAAAAAGGGAGAGAGAACUGGAGUGUUGCUUUAUUGCCCAGGCUAGAAUGCAGUCUAAAAAUGGGUAUUGAAAACCUCUUUUAUGCCAAUAAUUGUGCUUAAUAAUGGAGACAGGAAAAUAUGAGGGAAGAAAAUAACAAACCAGUAGCCAACCAAUAUUUCAUUUAAACCUAGAAUGUUAAAUUUCGCAGUAUCCCCUGAAAGUGGCUGUGAUACACUGCUCAAUGAAAAAGCAGAAUGGAAAAUUGUGAUUGCACCUGAAUUUCUAUUAUCAAUUUAGAAUGCAUUUGGCUGGCCUUCGAGAACAGAAAACCCACUAAGCAGAACUAAGCAGUAGCUCACAGGCAUAAAAGUUGAAAAGACUUCUUCCUCACAGGAAAUAACCCGCAAAUGAAAUCACAAGAUGCAGUUGCUCUCCUUGGUGAGCUGUUGGAAGGGCAGACGAUUCCUGGUCCAUCCAUUACCAUGAUUUGUGUCAAUUGUUGGUCUUAUGGAUGCUCCUACUGUGGGGAGAAAACUAUAGGCUGAAGACAAGGACUGCCUGACUUCCCAGUUUCACUCCAGGAGACCCACAUCACACCAGCUUCCUCUUGAUGCUGUAGACACAGUCACGAGGUGGCCGCCAGUGUCUUUCUCACAUCCAUCUGCUGGGGAACAGGACUCUUUCCUGCUCUGCAAGGUGGAAAAUACCAUCAC
rnacentral:lncRNA from 13 species